GGCCUUGUGGCCUAGUGGAUAGGCGUCGGACUUUGGAUUCGAAGGUUGCAGGUUCGAGUCCUAACAGGCUCG